GUCGUAGGGCCCUUAAGGGUACCGAAUGGUUUAACGGGUGAGUAACACGUGGGUGAUCUGCCCUGCACUUCGGGAUAAGCCCGGGAAACUGGGUCUAAUACCGGAUAGGACUGCGCGGUGCAUGCCGUGUGGUGGAAAGAUUUAUCGGUGCAGGAUGGGCCCGCGGCCUAUCAGCUUGUUGGUGGGGUAAUGGCCUACCAAGGCGACGACGGGUAGCCGGCCUGAGAGGGCGACCGGCCACACUGGGACUGAGACACGGCCCAGACUCCUACGGGAGGCAGCAGUGGGGAAUAUUGCACAAUGGGCGCAAGCCUGAUGCAGCGACGCCGCGUGAGGGAUGACGGCCUUCGGGUUGUAAACCUCUUUCAGCAGGGACGAAGCGUGAGUGACGGUACCUGCAGAAGAAGCACCGGCCAACUACGUGCCAGCAGCCGCGGUAAAUACGUAGGGUGCAAGCGUUGUCCGGAAUUACUGGGCGUAAAGAGCUCGUAGGCGGUUUUCGCGUCUCUGUGAAAACCACAGCUCACUGUUGGCUUGCAGGCGAUACGGCAGACUUGAGUAUUCAGGGAGACUGGAAUUCCUGGUGUACCGUGAAAUGCGCAGAUAUCAGAGA
rnacentral:rRNA from 1 species